UAGGGAAUCUUCCACAAUGGGCGCAAGCCUGAUGGAGCAACACCGCGUGAGUGAAGAAGGGUUUCGGCUCGUAAAGCUCUGUUGUUAAAGAAGAACACGUAUGAGAGUAACUGUUCAUACGUUGACGGUAUUUAACCAGAAAGUCACGGCUAACUACUUGCCCG
rnacentral:rRNA from 1 species